CUCACAAAGUGGCUGUUAUAUGUGGUUGCCAAUUAUCAUAUCACAGCCAGCUUUGAUGAGCA
rnacentral:pre_miRNA from 1 species